GCUGCCGUAGCUCAGUGGUAGAGCACUCCCUUGGUAAGGGAGAGGUCGAGAGUUCAAUUCUCUCCGGCAGCACCA
rnacentral:tRNA from 1 species